rnacentral:lncRNA from 1 species
CCUCCACGGCGCGGCGGCCCUCGUCCAGCUUGGCCUCCAGCUCCGUGGUGGUCUCCUUCUUCAUCUUGUUGAGCGCGGCGGCGAUCUCCGCGCGGGCCGCCUUGAGCACGGCCUGGGCCUGCUCCUCCAGCUGCCGCAGCUCCUCGGACGCGUCCUUGACGCCGCCCAGCUCGGCGCGGAUCUUGGCGUCCCGGUCGUCCAUGAACUUGCCCAGCGGCGAGAAGUAGAGCUUGUCCAGCGCCACCAUGAGCAGCAGGAACUCGAUCGUGAUGAAGGGGAGCGUGAGGUUGAAGUCGAAGAGCGCCGCCUUCUCGAUAUCGGCUGCUAGCGCCGGGAGAGGCGCGGAGACUACGGCCGCCGCCGCAGCCGCUGCCGCCGUUGAGACGAGCCCCGGGAGCUGCUUGAAGGACCGCCGCGGCUGCGGCCUGGGCGGCGGCGGAGCGGAGCUGGAGGAGGCCACGGGCUUGAGGGCCAGCGGCGCUCGGCGCGGGGAGCAGGAGGUGGUGGCUGCAGCCAUCAUAGCCGUCGCCAUGGGUGGGGGCGAGAGGAGGAGGGGAGUGAGAGGAGGCGCGGCGAGUCCAGUUGCGG